rnacentral:rRNA from 1 species
UACGUAGGGUGCAAGCGUUGUCCGGAAUUAUUGGGCGUAAAGAGCUCGUAGGCGGUUUGUCGCGUCUGCUGUGAAAACCCCGAGGCUCAACCUCGGGCCUGCAGUGGGUACGGGGCAGACUAGAGUGCGGUAGGGAGAUUUGGAAUUCCUGGUGUAGCGGUGGAAUGCGCAGAUAUCAGGAGGAACACCGAUGGCGAAAGGCAGAUCUCUGGGCCGUAACUGACGCUGAGGAGCGAAAGCAUGGGAGCGAACAGG